GGGGCCGCCCCGCCCCCGCCCGUCACCGCGUCCUUAGCCCCGGCCUCCCUCAGAACGCGCUGGGAUGGGAACCGCGUUCAGGAGCUGCUAAGCGCGUUUGAGACUUCAGCCCCUUCUCCAGCUUUUAACCUAAAAGGGCUAAAUCAGACCGCAGCUAGUGUACACCCCUACCCUCCGCUGAUCCCGUCACCCCUGCGCCGAAAGCAAAAGACCCAUUCCAGCUCUGGACGUUGUGAGGCCUGGCCCAGGCGUCCGCUCUCUGGUUUUCCUAUUGAUCUUACCCCUGCUUUGGGGCCAUUGUGUUGCGGGAAGUCAGGGACCCCAAACGGAGGGACCCGCUGAAGCCAUGGCAGAAGAACGUGGAUUGUGAAGAUUUCAUGGACAUUUAUUAGUUUCCCAAAUUAAUACUUUUAUAAUUUCUUAUGCCUGUCUUUACUGCAAUCUCUGAAGAUUUCAUGGACACUUAUCACUUCCCCAAUCAAUACCCUUAUGAUUUCCUAUGCCUGUCUUUACUUUAAUCUGUUAAUCCUGUCAGCUCGUAAACCAAGGAGGAUGUAUGUCGCCUCAGGACCCUGUGAUAAUUGCGUUAACUGCACAAAUUGUAGAACAUGUGUGUUUGAACAAUAUGAAAUCUGGGCACCUUGAAAAAAGAACAGGAUAACAGCAAUUGUUCAGGGAAUAACAGCGAUAACCUUAAACUCUGACCACCGGUGAGACGGGCGGAAAAGAGCCAUAUUUCUCUUCUUUCAAAAGCAAAUGGGAGAAAUAUUGCUGAAUUCUUUUUCUCAGCAAGGAACAUCCCUGAGAAAGAGAAUGCACCCCUGAGGGUGGGUCUAUAAAUGGCCCCCUUGGGUGUGGCCAUCUUCUGUGGUCGAGACUGUAGGGAUGAAAUAAACCCCAGUCUCCCAUAGCACUCCCAGGCUUAUUAGGAAGAGGAAAUUCCCCCCUAAUAAAUUUGGUCAGACCGGUUGAUCUCAAAACCCUGUCUCCUGAUAAGAUGUUAUCAAUGACAAUGGUGCCCGAAACUUCAUUAGCAAUUUUAAUUUCACCCCAGUCCUGUGGUCAUGUGAUCUCGCCCUGCCUCCAUUUGCCUUGUGAUAUUCUAUUACCUCAUGAAAGACGUGAUCUGUGACCCACACCUAUUCGCACACUCCCUCCCCUUUUGAAACUCCCUAAUAAAAACUUGCUGGUUUUGCAGCUUGUGGGGCAUCGUGGAACCUACCGACAUGUGAUGUCUCCCCCAGAUGCCCGGCUUUAAAAUUUC
rnacentral:lncRNA from 1 species